GCAUUUGCCAAGGAUGUUUUCAU
rnacentral:siRNA from 1 species